GCCCGCCUAGCUCAAUCGGAUAGAGCGUCAGACUCUUAUCUUCUCUUUGUUAAAAAUUUGCGGGCAUCUGAAGGCUGCGAGUUCGACCCUCGCGGUGGGCU